UACGAAGGGGGCUAGCGUUGCUCGGAUUUACUGGGCGUAAAGGGCGCGUAGGCGGAUAACCAAGUUGGGGGUGAAAUCCCGGGGCUCAACCUCGGAACUGCCUCCAAAACUGGUAAUCUUGAGUAUGAGAGAGGUGUGUGGAACUCCGAGUGUAGAGGUGAAAUUCGUAGAUAUUCGGAAGAACACCAGUGGCGAAGGCGACACACUGGCUCAUUACUGACGCUGAGGCGCGAAAGCGUGGGGAGCAAACAGG
rnacentral:rRNA from 1 species